GUAGGGGUGGGAGUAAGAGUCUGAGACCGGCACACUAAGCUUCUAAAAACUUUAAACUCUUACAAAAACUGUCCAGUUUAAUACCAGAUGCCCUGCAUGCUUAUGAUGAAUUUCAUCUAAUUCCGUGGGGAAUCCAGAAGCGCAAACCAAAUGACACGAUAAACGGACUAACGCGCUCAGACCUGGAGACCUUUUACUGGGGCGGACACACCAGCUGGCGAAAUCAAGUUCCAUAAUGAAGAGGUAAAUGAGGAGGCCUCUCUAAGGCUCCAUCUUGAUGAAGGAAGCAACCACCUUGCAGAAGGAAUUGUCUCUGGCUGCUAAGAGCUACAGGUGGAGAAUCCAGAUAUCUCAGUCUUGCAUCUACAGGGACAUCCAUUUUCCCAACCAUCUGAGAGACUUUGGAAGUGGAUUUCCCUCCUGUCAACAGCCCAGAACUCCUUUGAUACC